GUAGUCUCGCACAGAUGCAUAUCAAUAAGCGGAGGAAAAGAGACUAACAAGGAUUCCCUCAGUAACGGCGAGUGAAGCGGGAAGAGCUCAAAUUUGAAAUCUUGAAAGGUCACCUUUCACGAAUUGUAGUUCAAAGAAGUGUUUUCUGUUACGAUCGUAAUAUAAGUUCUUUGGAAUAGGACAUCACAGAGGGUGAGAAUCCCGUCUAUGAUUGCGAUUUGUAGCUUUGUGAUACACUUUCAAAGAGUCGGAUUGUUUGGGAAUGCAGUCCCAAAAUGGGAGGUAAAUUUCUUCUAAGGCUAAAUAUUGGCGAGAGACCGAUAGCGAACAAGUACCGUGAGGGAAAGAUGAAAAGAACUUUGAAAAGAGAGUUAAAUAGUACGUGAAAUUGUCAAAAGGGAAGCGUUUAACACCAGUGUUGUUUUCUGAAAAUCAACCUCUGUUAGCUUUAUGCAUGUUUGUUUAGACCUAAUCAGCUAUCUUGCAUGUUCUAUUGUUUGCAGUGGUGCACUUUUCAGUUUACAGGUCAACAUCAGUUUUUUUUACCGUAAAAAAGUUAAAGAAAGGUAGCUCAUGGCUCCGGUCGUGAGUGUUAUAGUCUUUUUCCUAUGCGGUAGGAGAGACUGAGGUCUGCAGUGUAGGCUAUUUGGCUAGAUACUCAGGUGCUAUGUGAUACCAUUUCAUAAACAACUUGUUGAUUAUGUUUUGUCUAUUGCAUACUCGCUUGUACUAUCAUACCUACGCUUAGGAUGUUGAAGAUGUAGCACAUCAU
rnacentral:rRNA from 1 species